UACAGAGGGUGCGAGCGUUGUCCGGAAUCACUGGGCGUAAAGGGCGCGUAGGUGGCGCAACAAGUCAGUGGUGAAAGCUCGACGCUCAACGUCGAGUCGGCCACUGAGACUGUUGGGCUUGAGCACUGUAGAGGCUAAUGGAAUUCCGGGUGUAGCGGUGGAAUGCGUAGAGAUCCGGAAGAACACCGGUGGCGAAGGCGGCUCACUGGACCGGUUCUGACGCUGAGGCGCGAAAGCGUGGGGAGCAAACGGG
rnacentral:rRNA from 1 species